GGGGACGUAGCUCAACUGGCAGAGCACCGCCCUUGCAAGGCGGGGGUUGUGGGUUCGAGUCCCAUCGUCUCCA
rnacentral:tRNA from 1 species